GAUGAACGCUGGCGGCGUGCCUAAUACAUGCAAGUCGAGCGAACAGAUAAGGAGCUUGCUCCUUUGACGUUAGCGGCGGACGGGUGAGUAACACGUGGGUAACCUACCUAUAAGACUGGAAUAACUCCGGGAAACCGGGGCUAAUGCCGGAUAACAUUUAGAACCGCAUGGUUCUAAAGUGAAAGAUGGUUUUGCUAUCACUUAUAGAUGGACCCGCGCCGUAUUAGCUAGUUGGUAAGGUAACGGCUUACCAAGGCAACGAUACGUAGCCGACCUGAGAGGGGACAGGGCAACACUGAACCUAGAGCACGGCCCGGCUCCCCAGGGGGGGAGCCGGAGGGAAUUCCUCCAAAAGGGGGAAAACCCUACCGGGCCAACGCCCGGGGGUGAUGAAAGUUUUCGGGACUGAAAAACUCUGUAUUUGGGAAAAAAAAAAUGUGAAAGUAACUGGCCCCGCUUGGACGGAACCUAUCAAAAAAGCCCCGCCAAACACCUU
rnacentral:rRNA from 1 species